rnacentral:lncRNA from 1 species
AGUAGCAGCGGCAGCGGUAGCAGCGGCAGCGGCAGCUUGGUCCUCUGACUCUCUUCGGUGACGGGUAUUCUUGGGUGGAUAAUACGGAUUACGUUGUUAUUGCUUAAGAAUACGCGUAGUCGAGGAGAGUACCAGCGGCAGGGGGGCAGCGGCCGCCCUCCCCAGCCCACCAGCUGGCCACUAAACGCCCGUGGUUGCCAAGCGAAGGGGAAGCCACCGCCACCACACCCCUCAAGCAUGCCCGGGCACUCCUGGGGACAAUCGGACGUGGCAGGAGUUGGCAUGCCCAAGAUGAAGCUGGGAAGGAUGACCCAGAGUGGAAGGCGUGGGCUGGGGCUCCAGGUCUCAGCUCUCGCCAGCGUCGGACCACACAGCUUUGCCAGCUUUGCACCUUGCCUUUCCUUCUUGUGAGGCAUCUGGGACCGUCCUAUCAAGGCGCUUCAAAGGUGGAAGGACAGAGUGCUGGGGACAAGAACGUACCAGGCGCCCAGAAGAUUCCACUAGCGCGGCCAAACACUAAGACCAGGUUUCCUCCCUGCGUGGUGGUCGUUGGUUGUGCACGGGCUGCGCAGGAAGACUGAAUUCCUGAGAAAUGGAAACUGCAUGAGAAAAAUCAAAUAAACUUAGAGGCCUGUGAAGCUCUCCCUCUUGUCGCUCUGGGACCGCUCUAAGCUGAGCUACAUCUCAGAUACCUUCUCCCCCUGGAGGAUGGGCCUUUCUCAGGCACGAAGUGCGUGUGCCCCACUGGGCUCUUGCCCACAAGAGCAGUCUGAACCCUGGAGAGGCUGACACCGAGGUGUCUUGAAGGAAGCAGGCACACUCUCAUGCUUCCCCACCUAGGGUUUUGCCUUUCUUCUAAUAUUUAGGAUUCCCAGUGAAGGGUACUCCACACACACCCUCUCCCUACCCCUAAUCCCACCCCAUUGUGUCUGAUCCCACAAUUACUCCCAGGGUAUCUAUACUCAACAGCUUUUGCGCUCAAAGA